rnacentral:misc_RNA from 1 species
CUCAAGAAUCUCCCAAGUCUCAAGAAUCUUCCAAGUCUCAGGAAUCUCAGUCUGAAUUAUCUAGUGUUCCUUCGGUCUCAUUCUGGACAAAUGGUGGUCUGUUAGGACUUGAGCCAUCAAAGCCUCCUGAUUUUGCUGUAUCAAACACAUCGACUCAGGAUUCUUUGACAAGAUGUAAAGGUGAGGUAGAAAGUCUCCCAAAUCAUGCUUCUAUGCCAAGCAACAAUGGAGAGAGAAUGAAGCCUGGCAGAUUGAUUAAGGACACUGGAAGCAUGGAAAGGAUUCUGAGUUCUGAACGCUCCAAUUCACAGUGUGAGGAUCAAGAUGCUGAAAUUGAAAAAUCUGGUGAUUUUUAUCAUAGUAAUAGAUUUGUUAGUGCUUCUGUGGGAGGAUUGAAUAGUACAAGUGUAGUGAAAUCAGGAAAAGAGUUGUGCCUUGAUGCAGAUGUUAAAGCCACAUCAUUUGAAACCAGUCAGGAGAAUGUUGAAAACUCAGCUCAAAUGUUUGGAAUUGGCAAUAGGUUACUUAUUAAUGGUUUACGUAAAAAGAUGUCGCUUGUCCCUGAUAAUAAACCAGAGGUGGCUAGCUCACUGAAAACUAGUGCAUUGGAGCAGGGUAACGGGAACCAUAGCUUUGCUUAUAAUGCAACACCAGGGAAAGCAUUGAAUGCUAAGUUUGGACAUAAAUCUAUUGUAGAUUCACUAACUUCUUCACCACCACUAGAACAUAUGAAAAUGUCUUUCCACCCUACAGAUGGCUUUGAGGCUUCCAAAUUGAAGCUGAAAUUUCCUGAUGGGAACCACAGCAGUGGAAGUUUUAGAGAUAUGUUCCCAUCAUUUCAGUUGGUGCCAGAGCCUUCUAUUCCAUUGCAACAUGCAGGUUCUGAAUCUGAUGAUGAUACCUUCUGUAGAUCAUCUCCUUAUAUGUCAGAUGAUUGUCUUAGCCAUCACUCCGAUUCCUAUUCUGAGCAAUGGGAAUCUGGUGAAUCUCCUGAAAACCAGGACCGUNNGUAUGAUGCUUUAUGCAGAAUAUCAUCUGUUGAAUCUGUAUCAAGUUCUCUGCAAGCUGGGGAAAUGGGCAACAACGGCGUUCACAUUGUCUCGCGAUUUAAAAGUGACUAUGCUGAGAAUGGUUCAGAUCCAUCUCUCCUCUCCUUGCUCGAUCUCCCCAGUUUUGAUGCUGUGAACCCUGUACCACAGGAAAAGGCAAAAGAUAAGUUGGAUCCAAGGAAUCUCGUAGAAUUGCAAAAUCCUAGGAAUUGCAACCCAGCUCCACCACCUCCUCCCCCAGUGCAAUGGUGGGUCACAAAACCUGCCUCUUGUAUGGCAGAAGAAAAACAAAAUACAAUAUCUGAUGCUGUGAGUGAGCAGCAUGCAGCUGAUCUAAAACUUUCAGGGUCUACAAUAUCUCAGCAACAUAA